GAAAGAACAUAAAAGAGCCAAAAGGGCAAGGUGCAGCACCCCUUACAGUACAGCUAGCACUAGUGCAGAGUGACCAAGACACAAAUCUUGGUCUUGCACCUGAUGAUGAACGUCCAGUAUCCGAAAAUUUAAAGGACAUUACGCUCUAUGGCAGUAAACCUAGCUGUUUUAGUUGCCUUUGAUGCCUCGUCACUUAGUGAUAUUAGUUUGAAGACUCAUCUUAUACCAUUGGCCAAGGAGCUUAAAGUAAAACACUGUUCCAUGAGCAAGUAUGAGAUUGUUCUUCCCUUGGCCAAGGCUCUGUUUGAGCAGAAGUAUCUCGUUGGAAACAAUAGACAGUGUAACUAUCUACAUCUCACCCGGAACAGCAUUAAAGUACUAAAGAAACCCAAUUGUUGUAAUAUGCCAUCAGCCAAGCAAAACAACAUGCGUGCUGACGUUCCAGAAAAAGCGUCUGUUGAUGGUAAUGCUAGCUCAUGCACUAGUAGUGAUGAGGAAGAAAAUCCUUUUGAACUAUAAUUGUUUUAUAGGAUUGUUGUUUUAUAUAUAUCAAAUAGCAUACUAAGUGUAUGCACCAUGCAAGGUGCAUUAUGUUUGUGUUCUGAUUAAAAGUAAUUUGGUGUUA